rnacentral:sRNA from 1 species
AAAUUUCAAAGUUAAAAAAUUGUUAUGAAUAAAGAUGGAUGCCCAUUAUAAGGCCCAUCAUCUAAGCCCAUCAUCUAGAUGUUUCUAGGGUUUUACCCUUUCCUUGUACUCCUAUAUAAAGAACUCUUUAUCUCAAUGGAAGAACACACUCAUUUCCUCUAUCUCUUUCUCUGUUUAUAACACGUUAUCAGCACGCUCUAAAAGGUAGAUAUAGAGAUUCUUACAUUUUUUUAAGAACUAUGUUUACUUAUCGACUCAUGGUUCAUAGUAUUUAUUUUCUAUUAUUGAAACAAAACAAUAUGAGCCGAUCGAUGAUUAUAGUAUAGAUCGGUAAAAGCAUGUUUUCAAUGAUUCAAUAAAGAAGAGAAUCAUGCUUAUCAUUUGUUUCUAUAAUUACUAUCGCAUGAUUCAAUGAUUCUACAAAGAAAAUCGUUAAAGAAGAGAAUCAUGCUUGUUAAUUGUUAAUUUUUGUGAUUUACUAUUACAAUAAUGAAUAUAUAAAUUACCAAUUUUAUAAUUAUAUAACUAAUUUUGUAACUAUUCAUAGCCCGGUGGUGGGUGAUGCAAACAUGUAUUAAUGUUUUAGCAUUCCAGUUUUGAAUAGUUGCAUCUAUAUUCAAUAUCAUUUUAUAAAUAUUAUAUUGUCUAAAAUCCAUUUAUGAUUGAUAUGAUAUCCCUUAUUUAACUCUUUUGAUUAAAACGUUAUACAUAUCUUAUCACUUUUAGAUAUUGACUUUUCCAUAUUAAAUAUUUGAUUUCCAUAUAUUUGAUUGUGUUAUUAUUAUUUUUACUAAAAACGUUGCAAGAUAAUUUUUCUUUUUAUAAGAUUCCAUAUAUCUAAAUCUUUGUGUUAUUAUUAUCUAAAUCUUUUUAUAAGAUUUCCAUAUAUUUGAUUAUGU